AUGAAGCAACAGCAAGAGAAAAGAGAGAAACCAAUAAGCUCAGAUCUGAUUUAUGAGAAAUCCAGAACACAAUCUUCUCACCAUCUCCACAGCUACCUUCAAAGCACCAUUCUCACUGUGGGAAGGAAUGAUUACAUUUUUGCCUUAACCUCUGUGUGAUAGCACUACGAGAAGAACGCUGGCACUGGGAGACAAAAGUAGUAACAGACAGCUGCCGUGGCCUGCUCAACAAAGACCCGGACAAGGC